UGGCUCAGUUGCUAGAGCAUGGUGUUUGCAACGCCAGGGUUGUGGGUUCGAUUCCCAC
rfam:Salmo salar isolate Sally breed double haploid chromosome ssa01, whole genome shotgun sequence.